AACAUUGAUCAGCCAUAAAAGGAAAUAAGCUGUUAAGCAUAGAUGAAGCUUAAAUCCACAUUGCUAAAUAAAAGAAGCCAGUCUUCUUUUAGAAUACAUUUUGCAGAGCAAAAGAAACUAUCAUCAGAGUGAACACGUUGGUUUGCUGCACCCAUCAACUCGUCAUUUACAUUAGGUAUUUCUCCUAAUGCUAUCCCUCCCCCAGCCCCACAGCCCCGGACAGGCCCCAGUGUGUGAUGUUCACUGCCCUGUGUCCAUGUGUUUUCAUUGUUUAACUCCCACCUAUGAGUGAGAACAUGCAGUGUUUGGUUUUCUGUCCAUGUGAUAGUUUGCUUAGAAUGAUCGUUUCCAGCUUCAUCCAUGUCCCUGCAAAGGACAUGAACUCAUCAUUUUUUAUGGCUGCAUAGUAUUCCAUGGUGUAUAUGUGCCACAUAUUCUUAAUCCAGUCUAUCAUUGAUGGACA
rnacentral:lncRNA from 1 species